AUCAAAUAAAGUAGCAUUACUUUACGUGAGUCUUUAUAUAUUUUGUAUCAUACAUGAAGGGAUAUAGUAGUAAUACUCCCCCUUCUUUUGAUGUGUGCUGGAUGUGUUUUGCUAUAUAGUUUUUUUUCCCCUUCUUUUAAGAUUAGUUGAUUAAAAUUAAGUAGUGUGUCCAAUGGCUAUUAUGAUUUCUAAAAUGAAUAGGUAAAUUAACUAAAUUAAAUUACAUGUGAUUUGCCAUGUUA